ACCAUUUCAAAUGCCAGAGCCUCCAGUGAGGGCUUCUUUCCAGAGGCAACUUUGCUCUUUAAACUCAGACAGGGACUCAUUCUGCUGCCCAGGCUAGAAUGCAGUGGUGUAAUCAUGGCUCAUUGCAACCUCCACCUCCUGGGCUCGAGUGAUCCUCCCAUCUGAACCUCCCCAACUAGCUGGAACCACUGGUGCGCACUACCACAUCCGGCUAAUUUUUGCAUUUUUUGUAGAGACAGGUUUUCACCACGUUGCCCAGGCUAAUCUCAAACUCCUGAACUCAAGCGAUCUGCCCACCUCGGCCACCCAAAGUGCCAGGAUUACAGGUAUGAGACACUGUGUGGUCCCCUCAACUUAUUUUUUUAACAUUUUUUUUUCCAAUGAAGUUGCUUGUCUCUUUCACUUUUGUCCAAUUUGUUUCUUAUAUUUUCUUUUUAUUAUUAUUUUAAUAUUGAUUCAUUUUUUAACUCUUUUUUAUUCCUUUUAUUUCUUUCCCUAGUUUAUUUCAUAACUCACUUUUAUGCUUAUUUCUAUUUUACUGAUUUCAGUAUUAAUUAUUUUAAAUUGCUUUCUUUUGCACAGUUUUAGCUUUAUUAUUUCUUAUAUUAUGCUAUUUAUUCUUUAUUUUUGCUCAACUUCUUAGUUUCUGGCAUUCUGUUCUUUCACUUUAUCUCAUUGGUUUAAUUUCAUAAUUCAAAUUAUUUCCUGGUUAUUUUAACGUUCAUUUUAAGAAAUUGUUAUUGCUUUUAAUUUAAAAAAUGGUCUUUAUAUGGUAUAUGAAAAACAAUUCAAUAUGGAUAGCCCCAAGGACAAAGAGUCUGUACCAUGGAAAGGUGGCCUUGCAGUUUUCUAUCAAACUUCCCAGGAGCAGAAAUUUGCAACCUCCUCUUUGCCGCAACACACCAAAAGGAGCAGAAUCAUUGACUCUUAGUAGUUCUCAGCUGUGAUGCAACAAAGCAUUUCAAAACCUCUAGCUGAAUGCUAAGACAAAGGCUUCUCAUUGUGUGAAAGCUGAAGGAUCUCUCCCUGCAUUCCCUUCAUGGGCAUCUCUAGGCUACUUGGCCUCAUGGAUGCUUCAGGCUCUCCAGUGGCUUCAGAGAUCCCUAGUUUCCAGGACACGGCUUUACCUCCUUCUCCAGAGGAUGCAACAAUAAGGCACCAUCUUGGAAGCAGAAAGCAGCCCUCACCAGACACCAAAUCUGCCAGCACCUUGAUCUUGGAUUUCCCAGACUCCAGAACUGUGAGAAAUAAAUUUUUAUUUUUUAUCAAUGAGCCAGUCUAAGGUAUUUUGUUAUAGCAACGCAAACGGACCAAGAUAAUUACCUUUUUUUACUAGAAUAUUUGUUACCUGAGCAUGAAGUUUUAUCUUUCUUUACUGCCUUUUACAUAGGAGGUAAUCAAAUGUGUCCUGAAUUCAGGUUAUUAAAUUAUAUAAUGAAUUAGAUUAUAUUGCCACUGUGUUGUCUCUUUUCACCAAAAUCUACUAAUAAAUAGUUAUGUUAAGAAAUUAAAUAUAUUGCCAGGUGCGGUGGCUCACGCUGUAAUCCCAGCACUUUGGGAAGCUGAGGCGGGCGGAUCACAAGGUCAGAAGUUCAAGACCAGCCUGGCCAAGAGACCAGCCUGGUCAAUAUGGUGAAACCCUAUCUCUACUAAAAA
rnacentral:lncRNA from 10 species